rfam:Lactobacillus floricola DSM 23037 = JCM 16512 strain DSM 23037 NODE_63, whole genome shotgun sequence.
UCACAUCUGCAACCGCAUGCUCAAGGUUUUAAGCCGUUAGGCACCUUGUUUAGUGGCGAGUCUAAGAAUAUAU